GGUGGUGAGGGUGCUCCUGGAUGUUGUUACCAUCCACUGCCAUCGAGGGUCCCAGGUGGUGCCUACGAUCUGCUAAGUACAGGUGGACGACCCUCGGCUGCUCCGCAGCGGAGCUCCUGUAAGAUGUGCUGCAGGCUCUGCACUGUGUUCCUGCUCCAGUUUCAGCAGCAGACAUCCUAGGAUGAGAGAACUAGAAGAGACUUGAGAGGUUAUUCCUUCCGUGGAUGAUAGAUUCUUCCAGGGAAUCCGCAGUGGAGUCAGGAAUUUCUGGUUCUUGGCCCAGCUGACAUGUGUACAUCUGACUGACCUCCUCUGACCCCAGGUUUGGAUGCCAUAUUGUCUGCUUCCAGAACAAGGAUCUUCACUAUACAUUGGGACCCAGGCCGCUCUGACAUCUCCUGAAUAAAAAGCGAUGUUUAAUAAAACAGUUUAAAAUUUGUAA